UACGUAGGGAGCAAGCGUUGUUCGGAUUUACUGGGCGUAAAGGGCGCGUAGGCGGCGCGGUAAGUCAGUUGUGAAAUCUCUGAGCUUAACUCAGAACGGCCAAGUGAUACUGCAGUGCUAGAGUGCAGAAGGGGCAAUCGGAAUUCUUGGUGUAGCGGUGAAAUGCGUAGAUAUCAAGAGGAACACCUGAGGUGAAGACGGGUUGCUGGGCUGACACUGACGCUGAGGCGCGAAAGCCAGGGGAGCAAACGGG
rnacentral:rRNA from 1 species